rnacentral:rRNA from 1 species
CCUACGGGGAGCAGCAGUGGGGAAUAUUGCACAAUGGGGGGAACCCUGAUGCAGCGACGCCGCGUGGGUGAGGAAGUAUCUCGGUAUGUAAAGCUCUAUCAGCAGGGAAGAAAAUGACGGUACCUGACUAAGAAGCCCCGGCUAACUACGUGCCAGCAGCCGCGGUAAUACGUAGGGGGCAAGCGUUAUCCGGAUUUACUGGGUGUAAAGGGAGCGUAGACGGCGGGACAAGUCUGAAGUGAAAUGCCGGGGCUCAACCCCGGGACUGCCUUGGAAACUGGCAGGCUGGAGUGCCGGAGGGGCAAGCGGAAUUCCUAGUGUAGCGGUGAAAUGCGUAGAUAUUAGGAGGAACACCGGUGGCGAAGGCGGCUUACUGGACGGUAACUGACGUUGAGGCUCGAAAGCGUGGGGAGCAAACAGGAUUAGAUACCCGAGUAGUC